CUUCCACUUCACCAUAAAGGGUCACGAGGAGCUGGCCAAGGGACUGUGGAACAACAUGUUUCAGCCCGAGGGAGGAAAGAUGAUUGUGAGCAGCUUCUCUGACCCCAUCAGUCUCAUCUGUCCACCGAUGGAACACCCAUAUAUCUUCACCCGACCAAUUGCAUCCAGGUCAGGCCAGCCUCCGCUUCAGUCUCCAUCACAGGCGGCCAUCUUGCUGCUGUCGCUACUCGUGGGUUUGGGACGUCUUGGACUUCUGUAGCUUUCACUUUACCGAGCUAUUUUUUUUAAAACCAUGUCUCUGCUUCACUGGUUACUGUUGAGGCGAUCACCUGCAAAGGAGAGUCUGUGAGCCACUCUUUGAAACUUUGCGCGUCUGUGGCCCCAAAUACCAGCAUGGAGAAAUUACUGCAGUUUUAAGAUCUGAAGACCCCAUAGAUAAUGUGACAGUGAAUCCUGCAACUGAAAUAUUGAAUCUUUAGAGGCAGAUGGAGGUGGAGGUGGUGAAGAGUUUUAGUCCCUUGUUGGUGAGCAGAUUGCUGCUCUUAGCAGAGAGUUUUCUAUUUUGCUUUUAAAUUUUUAAUCCAUCAUGAUGAUU